CUGAGAGAAGCUCGAAAAAAAGAGAGCAAAUACAAGCAGUGGCCAAAGAUAAAAAAAGAAAGAAAUUCAUGAUGAUGAGAUGGUUGGGUCUUCUGGAAACUGUUGAUCGAUGAUGCCUCUUCUUUUCUUGACGCUCUUGUCUCUUAUUAGAAACGUUGGCGUGCCAUAUUAAUAGAGACGAGAGGUAAAAAAGAAAGACAGCCCCAUCUGUUUGAUCUCCGGUUUCUUCUCUCGCUAGACCAGCUAGACGCUGUGUUUCUACGACUUGAUGAAUAGACGUCUCGUUUUUCUCGUUGGCAUCACCCACCACUGUUUAUGUGUACAUGCGUGCACACUGCACAGGCUAUGUUGAAAAAAGGACUCUAUAUAUAUUUUUUCUUUUUUCCGCCUUACAGGAAUUUCUGCUUGUGUUAUCUCAAAUUGUGAGUGCGUCGAUGAUUUAGUACAGCGACUUUUAUUUUUAAUUUUUUUUUUCUCUCGUUUUGGCCAACUGGAAAUGCGACACCCACCAACAGCAGGUGGUGGUGUUCCCUAAACAACUACCUCUACUCUUGUUUCCUGUAUUUCUUCCAUCUAAUUCUUAGCCGCUCACAAUCAUCAACCGAGUCAUCGAAGACACACAUCCAACAUAAAGAAAGAGUGACGGGGCAAAUAUGAAGUAGUGUAAAACGUUUAUUGAUAAAGAUUAGCUUAGAGACGUUCUUCGGCCCAUUAUAGAUUAGUACGUCGUGUUGAAUAGUUCUUUUUGCAGCACAAAUCGACUGUAGAGAGUAAUCCAAUCAGCAAACAAUCGAGUUCAUUAGGAUGAAACAAGCAGCGAUGGGGUGACAACAGUGAGGCUGCGCAGCUGUCCGGCCGAUGAUCAAUCUUGAUGGCUGCUCCCGAGUCUCACGAUCAUUGCAAUUAUGGUGAACUGAUGCGAUCGCUUUCUCUUUUUCUCCUUAUUUCUUUAGCCGAGAUACUAUGUUUGAUUAUCAAACUUGACUCUAUGUCUCUCUGUUGUGUACAUAAAUGCAUGGGAUAAAAGAAAAAAGGAUUCGGGCGGACGUGGGAUCCUCAACACACACACACAAAAAAAAAGGUCUAUGUUUAGUUGCGUGCGUGAAAGCCCAUAGCCAGCGAGGCAAACAUGUCUACGUGUACGUGCUGGAACACGGUAGAAGACAUAUGGCCGUCCAACGUCGAGGGGGUCUCACUGACGCUAAGGAAUAAAUAGAAACACAAGUUCCCGCUAGUUGCGUAAAGGCAUAGAGAAGGAGAGAGAGAGAAGAUGUCUGUACCGAAUUUUGAAGAAAGCAAACGCCUUGGAGUGGAAAAAAAAAAAAAAGAGGACAGAGAACUGGAAAAAAAAGAUUAAGAACGAAAGAAAAAAAAGGGGGGCGUUAAAAAAAAAAUAUGAAGAAAAAAAGACCGAAGGCAAAAAGGAAGUAAGGGGGGUGCGCACGGCGGGACCUGCAUUCCGGUAUAUAUAUCAUCGACACUACAGGCAUUUCACGACUGGCAACACGUUGACAACUUUAGUGGAUGAUUAGCCAUUUCUUGCUGCACUGCCAUUUGUCAGUGUCUUUCCUCUUCUUUCGUCUUGUUGAUGAUGGCCUUCCAUCGGAUGUCGACCUGGCUGCAUUUCCUUACGUCAGUUAUCCUCCAACGGACCAAAAAAAAAAAUACAGGCAGUGUGAUGCAACAGACAUAGAAUACGGAGGGACAAGUACAACUUUGCACAGACUGCCGUUCCAUACCGACCAGAGUUCCCUACAGUUUACUCACGGUGAUUGAAAAGUUAGAAGAUUGUGUGACUGUCCCAGUGUUAAAUGUGAAGUACGCUACAUGUUGUGUACACGCCUUCCACAUGGUAUACGUGUACAUCAGAUAGGACCGAUUCACGGCCUCUUGAAUUCUCGUUUCCCACCUCAAAAGGAGCUGACGUGAUACACAACAAGAGAGGUCGGUUGAUUUGGCCAAGAGGAUUGGCGCUUUGAUUGCGAUGAUGAGAACAGAGUUUGAAAAAAGUAGGUGAAGUAGGGGAUGUAAACAACAAUCGGAAAAAUUGACUGUACAAGGUUGGCUGCUCUUCAAGACAACCAUUUCGAUUCAGCUGUAUAUAAAUGUGGAGAAAGAAAAGAAACUUGACGAUGUUGAUGAAAGAAAAUAUUUCUAGUUGCUGCUGGCCACUGUUAUACCGAAGUUCGAUGUCAUCGCCUAUUCAAAUCUCUCACCUGCGCUACCCCAUUUUUUUUUUUUCCUCAGCCCCUCUGUCCUCUUCUUGACUGUUCAUUCUUAUCUUCUUCUUUUCUUAUUGUGUCCGAUAAGGUAUUCCCUCUUCCCUCAUCGUUGGUAUAAUCAUUUUCUUCUGUAAUGUCAGUCGCAGGAAUGGCAUCGAAGCAGCCCAUCCGCACGGCCGCUUAGUUUUCUCGCUACUUUGGAUGUAUAAUAGACACGAGGAGGUGGUAGAAUGACCGUCAUGUCGGAGCGCCUCAUCAUCAUCACGAUUGCACGAGGUGGCUGCAACCGUUGAUGCUGCAACAGCAGCUGAUGGUGCUUGCUCCCUUUAUGGAUUUUUUCCCCCCUCUUUUCAUCUUGUCCGUCUCCAUUUUCAUCCAUUUCCUGAACGUUGGUGGGGGGGUAAAAACGGAAUAGAAGCAAACAAACCAGAAGGAAUCAUGUGGCUGCUGCUGCCGGGCCGCCCUUAAAAGUAUCGCGUUUCUCAACUGUGCAUUGCAGGAGCGGCAGUCAAACCCAAAGCUCCUGGCCGUGUUGAUUUCUGGAUGAAGGCGUCGCUGUGCUGCUUUAUGCCAGCGGUCAGAGUAAUGCUUUAUCCUAAAAAACAGUAAACGCAACGGACGAAAGAGCGGCCGUUUUGAGUGAAAGUAAACGAUUGGAAAACAGGAAAACAAACCCCUCCCUCAAAGAAAUCCGUGUAUUGAUUGUGUAAAUAGUGGGAAGCGGCUCGUGUGAUGGCUGAAGAAAGAAAAAAAAACACAUACAUCGAGCAGAAGAACUAGAAAAAAAGGAAGAAAUAGUAUAUAUAGGCUACAGCUAAUAAUAAUAAUAAUGAUGGCGAUGAUAAAAAGAAAAGAAGGGGGUCGAGACGUGGACGAAUAAAUAAAAGAACGAAACGGAAAGAAAAAGAAGAAAUAAAGUGUUUAUAGUCGGUCGAAGAGGAAAUAAUAAGUGGUUAGCCAACGAGGACGGCCGAGAGAGAGAGAGAACGAACGAAACACGCGCGAUUUCAGCUUCGCUCCAAACGUUUGAUUGACCGGAGCAAAUGGCUUGAACAUAUAUAAUACACGGUCAUCCAUCGUGCGAAGGGUUUAUUUAUUUAUUUCUUUUUUCUUUUCUUUUAAUCGGCAUCGUUCUCUGUAAUAUUACAACGUUUCAGUUGCUUCUCUCUGAAUUCGUUUCUUGAGCUUAUUUAUGUUUGACAUUGAAUUUUUCUUAUAACUAAGUAGGGCUGUAUGAAUUUAGCUAAUAAAGGGACACAAUAAUAAUGUUUUUAACAAGUUUUGGCAAUUACCGCAAACGGUAAACGCUUAGAUGUAGAGGUGAACGCGGGAUAGAUGCAACAAACUCAACGAAUGACCGACAACGUUCCCCAAUCACCCAACAGGAUGGUAUAUGAGUAGACUAAGAAAAAUAGCAGAAGAAAUAAAAGUCUACACGUACACAAAACAGAGACAUAAGUGAGAAGAAAAAGGAAACCUCAAAAGUUGAUGGUGAAAACACGCGGUGGAUUGUACCGUCCGAAAGCAGAAAAACAAAACAAUAAAACAUGCGGCUGUUUGCUGUCCGCGUAUAACAAGUGCCCGCCAGUGCAUCGAUAAAAAUAGUCUACUGAAAAGAAAGGAAAAGAAUAGAAAAGUGCCCACACACAUCAGUUAUGUAAUACAACAACACAUAUUGUAUAUACUAUACACCAUAGAGAUGUGUACAGUAUAUUUGAAACUUGAAAACUCACCAACCGUCUCGAAAGCCUCAAAGCGAAGCAAAAAGGAAGGCGAGACAAAUAAAAACAAGCUCAAAAGAAGAAGACAAACGACAAUAACCCAACAAAAACAAAAUAAAGGAAAACAAAGUAGUCUUUUCUUUACCAACACACAACAAGGAAGAAAAGCAAAACUCAAUUCAAACAACAACAAAAAUGAAAGGGCGACCGUGCCUGGAACGGACUUUGAACGGAAGUCAUUUUCGCUUAUAUGCCAGGUGAGCUGCGCGCGCGGAGACUGUGAAAUAUUGUUACAGGUAACAGACAAGUAAGUAUACAGGCCGAACACGGACCUUCGGUCGGCUCGAACAAUUCUCUCUCCGCCCUCUUCCUAUCCACUUUCCUGCCAACACACACAAACACAUUUAACAUGCGUGCUUCAAAUCUUUUCCUGAUUCUGUUUUUCUUUUCAAAGAGCUUUCUCGUGUGUGUAUCCCACCUGACGUCCACACUCAUGACGCCAAUGUCUGUAUUGACUUUAUAAAUUUAUUCCGCCCGCACGCUCGCUGCUCCGCUGAUGAAUAAUGUGUUUUUUUUUAAAUGAAGGUGCCAUAGGAUAUGAUGAAACUGAUACCACUUUGUGUUUUGUUUUUUUUUUGUCGUCAAAAAGGUUUGCAAGAAACGCUUCGUUGAUCACCACACCCCAAGGUGUGUACCGACACGUGUCUUUAAUGAAGGACAUUAGGGAAAACGAGAUUUUGGUAACCCUUACCCCGAUUUCUAUACCUUUUUUCCCAAACUCUUUUUUUUUCAGAGGGUUUAGUGUGGAAGUAAAUUGCGUUUCACUUCUCCUGAAUUUUGAAAAGGAAGGGUACGAAAUGGAAGACACAUUCCAUUUGCUUCUUCUGCAUUUUCCCACUGUUUUCCAUAAUUUUCUUUGUUGCUAAGGUCUUGACCAAGGCAGUUGUCGUCUGGAUCUCGUUCAGACAUGAAACGUUUGUCCCUUUUUACCUGUGCAUGUGUGUGUGAUUGUUACGUCGUGUCAGCGUGGACGUGUCCAGACCAAUUGAUCGCAACCUUUACUUACCUGUCCUGCCCUUAGCUGUCCUGCCUUACCUGCAAUUAAAUUUCUCGGGAGAUGUCUGAUCUUUUAGUUCCUUUCCCUCACGACCCGCCAAUCACGCAGUGAUCUGAUCCUGUCCAGCCAGCCACCAAAAACAACUACACAAAAACGCCCCAUGUGCGUGAUGGAAGAACAAGUGGGCGGAAUAAGCUCCGAAACGGAGAGAAACUAACCCGUCUCAUCUUUUCGACAGGAGUUUAGAUGCCGGCCUUACACUGGCCCGUCGCCAAAGUGAUGGUUAAAUGGCCGGAAAACCGGUCGGCAGAAACUGAUUAUUAAAAAAAAAACGUAUAUACAGUCUAUAUACUUUAAAUAGGUAAACGAGAAUUUCUCGCCCAGUUAGAAAGUACAUCACCCAAGAUUGCAAUAACUUUUACUUUGCAUCGUCUUUCGCUCUCUGUGCUUAUUAAAUGUGGUUGCCCGUUCCAGAUUGGGCGUCUAAAUUGGGUAUGGCUGAAAACUCGUGUGCCAUGUAACCGGCCUGUUUCUCUUGUUUCCUUCCAUUGUAUAGCCACUAAUGUUACAUUCGAACCCGAAUUUUCAACAAUAUUUUUCCUUUCUCCCCAACACUCCACGAGUCCACAUGUGCCGUUUCGAAACGAUUGACGUCUCUCCUGCUGUUGUUAAUUCUAUCCCCCUCAUUCUUCAACUCGACAGAGUGUUUCACACCCACCACGCCUACUUUGUCAAAUGUUCCAUACCAUUUUCUUGUGCUUCAACAAAAAAUCUAUCAUUCUCUGAUUCAUUUUCUCUUUUGUGUUUCUUCUAUUUUUGUGUUAUGGGUUGGAUGAAAAAUCUGGUCAAAUUGCAGACGAAAUCGAACUAUUCUUUUGACUUUUGCAAUUCACAUUUUUGCUCGACUAGGUGUCACCACAUGUGGUACGCAGUAGGUUAAUGCACCUAGACCUAUCGUAUUGUUAUAACGAAAUGGUUUCGUCUAUGCUGGGCGCUAUUUAUGGCUUAUUCAUUUUGUAUAGGAUAGAGGAGAAAAAUUCAUGGAGAAAAUUUGUCAACGCUCCAUGUCCCUUCUUUUUCUCUCUUAAAAAAUCUGUUGGAAGUUGUUGGAGCAAUGUGGCAUGGGGUUCUCUGCUGGAUACAUAAUCAAUCUCUUUACUCCACAGAGCCGGACGCUGAGUAAUUUUAAGAAAUUGAGCCAAUGACGUGAUCAAGAAGAAGAAACAAAAAAUUAUAAAAGAGAAACGUUAAAUCUCUUUCACAAACAGCCACAAACGUCUCAUUUCCAUAAGCUUUGGCGAGAGUUUAUCAAGUUGAAAGCUUUUUUCAUUUUCGUAUUACAUAGUACUCACACAGACAAGGCCGUUAGAGCAAGACUUAAAUUGCUGCACGCAGCAGGAGGUCCGUUUGAUUUUUCCAACGUCAAGAAUAAAAAAAAAGAUGAAACAAGAACCAGAUGUUUUUCGUUCUUUUUUUAAAUCUUCAUCACAUAUCUCCAUUUUUUUUUCCUUUUUCUUGUUACUAGUACUACCACAAUUAGACACUGGCUGACUUCAUUACAUGUUUUGCCAGAGCUCAUUUGGAGGGGAGAAUUUCAUCGCUGGUCUGAAAGUUUCUCAAGAGACUCUAUGAUGAAAAGAAAAAGUUUGGGUGUUUUGGGCCGAAAAGAAAAGGGUGGCUUCUGUAAUAAAGCGCCACCAUGGAGAUCCGGCGUUGUCCUUCAGCACAGCGUUGACUUUUUUUGUUUAUCUGAAUCUGGGCAACAUACAAAUAAAAUAUGGUGAAGUGAUUGAUUUAAUCUCCUUUCACCCAUUUGAAAAGAAAAAAAAAUCUAAUUGUUUAAAGUCAUUAGCAAAUCUUAUGUAAAUUCUUUACCAGUAGGAGAGGUUGCCAAUUUUUCUACAUUUCAUCACCCCUUCUCCACAUUUUCUUUUUAGAUUAGCAUGUUUUUCUUUUUGUUCGAUUCGACAGUGUUUCUAAAGAGGGGGGGACUACCUUUCUCAAGGUUAGUAGGUCAGUGUCUUUGCUUGUUCUGCGUUGUUCAGUUGAUUUCUCGAUUGCAUAGUGACAGGCCAUAUUUUUUCCCCCUCGUCUCGUGCAUUCAUCGACAGUGUACAACGUGGCCUUAACACACCAACAAUAGUUAAACAGUGAAAACAAACUUGUUUCCAACAAAAGGCCAACACUUCAUCCAUGGCUGCGAGAGUCUCCAGGAAGCUGUUGCUUGCUGUUUACCUGAUGGAAACAAUAAUCUUAUUAAAGGUGCGUGUUGUGAUGACGCUGGCGACGUUGCGGGAAUUUCGCUGCGCGCCUGGCGGGGGCUUUGCAUCCUCUGCUGCGCGUCACUAAGAAAUAGCAGUCCGGUUUUUUCACCUCUAUGCAUCUUAGGAGUACGUCAGAUUACACGGAAAUCUGUCGCCACGACACCCCUGAAAUAGCUCGGGACUCCCGCCGAGCCAAAGAAGUUGUGUCAUUGGAACCCCCUGGCAACAACAACAGCAACAACAUUGGCCACAACACACAUAAACGUGCCACAUAGAAACAGGAAAGAAGAAGACGAUCGCAACUUUGUGGAAGGACGGCUAAAACGGUUGUCGAUCUUCACGAACAGGCCAUCAAUUUUGCACAGUAAAAAUCAAUUGUCUGUAACUGGUGUACUGACAUUUGACUAAACUGGUUUUAAGGAGAUAAUAAAAGAUAAAAUCUUGUCCUUGGCCGUGAUUAAUUCUUGGAAGUAAUCUCAGGGAAAUUACAGUGGAACUCGUGAUUUAUGAUGCUGGUCCUUGUAAAAGAUUGGGCAUUGCGGAUUUUGUGCCCAAAAUGGAAGCGAUGAUUGGAAAAAAAGCUACUCCAACUGAAUAUAUCAAAGACUUUUUAAUAAGAAGCGUCAUCCCUAUAUUUAAAUUGGCGCACAUUUAGGAUAUGUCAACCGAAUUUCAAAGAACGGCUAAAGUUUUCUGAAUGUAACUGGGUAAAAGGUCCCUCUUUUCCCAGGGCAAGCAUCUUCAUCAUCAACUGCCGACAUGUUUAGAAAGAAAAAAAAUCAAACGAAAGAACUCGCUAACAGAUCAUCCUUCUCCGGGAUUGUAAAUGGUGGUUGAACGAUGGAGCAGAGGAAAAAGAAAUAGUCAGGCGGGAAAUUCGAAAAUGUAUUUCAAGACGUCACCCUUUGCCCCAAAAUCUCUCUGCAUUCUCGUCGGGAAGAAGCACAAAUGCUUGACACAGGUAUGCUUUGUAAGAUCUCCAUAGAAAAAAGAAAAAUUUAAAAACGAAAUUCAAGACGAGACAUUUGACCGUUCAAGCUUCAAGUACCUCAAACACAUGCGUUGCAUACAUGCGCUGUGCCAUUCGAGCCUUGUGUUUGUAUUGCGUAGUGUCAAGUGUCGAGACGAAAAAAGAAGAAAAAUCCAAGUUGAUUAAAAAAACUACCACUCAACCUGUCUCACAAUCCUCGUCUUCUUUUCUCCGAGGGAUAUGAAGAAGAGUGAGUGUAGCGAAUGAAACGGUGGCUGGUAAAACCUACUCCAUCUCAUGCUGCGUUUAUGUGAUACACUGAUACAGCACUAUUACUAAAAGCACUAAAGUACAUUCUGAGCCUCGAUCUCCUAUUCUCGUAUUGUUUAGUUUUUCUUCGGGUGGCACUGAAGUUUUGGCAGCUGUGCAUCAACGUGAAGUUUCUACCGCGCUCCCCCUCUCUCUCUUUUCUCGCUCCAUCUAAAUUAACAUUUUUCUUCUUUAUGCACGUCUCUUUCGUUGAAUUGAACUUAUUUCAGCAAUGUAUUUUUUAUUUUCCUUGUACUUCCCAGCGGCUUUUCUUAUGCUAACUAUUGAUAUGUCUUAACAGGCUUGUGCUAUAAGAAAGGAAACUACGAAGACCAGGCGCGUGCUCUCAGGAAGGAAAUGGGCCAGCACGAAAUUCGAAUUGGAUGCGUUAUCGCCCCUGGUAUGUAACAACCAAUCACGAUCUGUUUUAAUUCUUUAGAGCUAUACAUGUUUUCAAUUUAUUUUUGUUUUCCUUUCACCUUCGAUUGUUGGUAUCCUUCCUCCAGUUCUUUGUAGAUCCUGAGAAUCGAUGAAACGUUCCCGAUAAAGAACGGUUAAAAAACACAUUCCUUUUUCUUCUUGUUAAAAAUGUUGCCAUGUAAAUUCUAUAUUAUGCCUAUCUUGGCAUAGACACUGCGGCUGUUUUUCACUUUCGUUGUCGUCUGUGACGCCAACAGCGUAGAAUUUACUUCCUACUCUUCCUUUUGUCUUUUCAUCGUAGAAAGCUAUGUGCUUAUUUCACCUCAGUUGUAAACGGGAUAGCCUAAUAUGUCGGUUGCUCAUUACAGUGCAAUCAAGAGCAAAGCGUCGUAGCUCGUUGCCAUUUGACGUAUCCUCUUUGAUCGAAAGAAAUUGUUGGUGUCAACGCCAGAGUUUGUCAAGAAGGCAAGUGGGAAGUACGGAAUCGAUUUCUACGAGGAAAUAUGGAAAGUGGGGUUCGCUCUUUAAAAGCUAGAGAGGGAAGUCAAAAGACAGCGGAACAAUUAUUAAUCGUGUUGUAGGGAAAUGUGGGCGGUUUCUUUUGGCGAAGGUCGGUGAUAAUCCAAGUCUUUUUGGGAAACUUUAGUGCACAGGCUUCGCUGGCGCGGUGGUGUCUGUUCGGGCCAUUAGCUCGUAAUGACGAGCACAUUAGGACAAUGUCUGGCGUGUCACGCGGAUGGAACUCAAUAACGUUUCAGCCAGUCCCUCCUCUUGCCUUUUUCAUGCUAUCCCUAUAAAUCACGCGGUAAGAGAGCGUCAGCCCAGCAACUGCAAAAGGGGAAAAAAGAUGGAAUGUAAGAAGGGUAUUUAAUGAGUCUUAAAGUGAGCACUGAUGAGAAAGAAUAUUCCGUAAUUUAUUUUGAAAAAAACGUUUUCUGCGUUUGGGUCUGAGUACUUUUCUCAUUUUGCGUGUUGUUCUACAAUUAUCCGUGUUAUUUAAACAAGCUUAUAUUGAACGGUUCGUGAGAUAGGGCCUCAAAUGCUGCGUACAGAAAUCUCACACGUCACAAGCCCGUAAAUAUACUCAUAUUCAUAUGCGCUUUCUCUUCCAUUUUAGAAAAAAAAAUAAAAAUAUAGUGGAUUUUCAAAAACAUGAAAUGACUCAUUUCAUGUUUUUAAUAACAAAAUAGUCAUUUGAAAUGACUAUUUUGGGGGGGCUUGGAAAUGGGAGUUAUUUCUUUUCAAAUGGCAACGCUGCAUUUGUCGUCUGCAGUGCGUCCUGUCAUUGAAUUCUGCCACGUAUUUCCCCGUUAGGACAGAUAACCCCUGACAGAUCGUUGAUAUCACACAUAAAAGAUUUAAAGAAAAUGAUUACGGAUAUUCAGUUGGCCAUCUUUUCGAACGUUUUAGGAGUGUCACUCUUCCUGAUGGUGAUACUCUAUCACUAUAUCUCCGCUAAUAAUCCUAAAUCUGCAUCUU